rnacentral:snRNA from 1 species
GUGCUCACUUCGGCAGCACACAUACUAAAAUUGCAAUGAUGCAGAGAAGAUUAUCAGGGACCCUGUGCAAGGAUGGCACGCAAUUUUGGGAAGCGUUCCACAUUUUU